rnacentral:rRNA from 1 species
GUCUUUUUGAGUUAUUUUUAAAGUCUGACCUGCCCACUGAGUUUUUAAAUGGCCGCAGUAUUCUAACUGUGCAAAGGUAGCAUAAUCAUUAGUCUUUUAAUUGAAGGCUGGUAUGAACGGUUGGACGAGGUAUAAGCUGUUUCAUAUAAAUUUAUAAUAGAAUUUUAUAUUUUAGUCAAAAAGCUAAAAUGUAGUUAAAAGACGAGAAGACCCUAUAAAUCUUUAUAUUUUGUGUGAUUUAAAUUUUUUUGAUUUGUUUUAUUUUUAUUAUGUUAAAUAUUUUGUUGGGGUGAUGUUAAAAUUUAAUGAACUUUUAAUUGUUUUAAAUCAUUAAUUUAUGAAUUAUUGAUCCAUUAGUAGUGAUUAUAAGAUUAAGUUACUUUAGGGAUAACAGCGUAAUUUUUUUGGAGAGUUCUUAUCGAUAAAAAAGUUUGCGACCUCGAUGUUGGAUUAAGAUAUAAUUUUAGGUGUAGCCGCUUAAAUUUUAAGUCUGUUCGACUUUUAAAUUCUU